rnacentral:rRNA from 1 species
GACGAACGCUGUCGGCGUGCUUAACACAUGCAAGUCGAACGGAAAGGCCCUGCUUUUGUGGGGUGCUCGAGUGGCGAACGGGUGAGUAACACGUGAGUAACCUGCCCUUGACUUUGGGAUAACUUCAGGAAACUGGGGCUAAUACCGGAUAGGAGCUCCUGCUGCAUGGUGGGGGUUGGAAAGUUUCGGCGGUUGGGGAUGGACUCGCGGCUUAUCAGCUUGUUGGUGGGGUAGUGGCUUACCAAGGCUUUGACGGGUAGCCGGCCUGAGAGGGUGACCGGCCACAUUGGGACUGAGAUACGGCCCAGACUCCUACGGGAGGCAGCAGUGGGGAAUAUUGCACAAUGGGCGGAAGCCUGAUGCAGCAACGCCGCGUGCGGGAUGACGGCCUUCGGGUUGUAAACCGCUUUCGCCUGUGACGAAGCGUGAGUGACGGUAAUGGGUAAAGAAGCACCGGCUAACUACGUGCCAGCAGCCGCGGUGAUACGUAGGGUGCGAGCGUUGUCCGGAUUUAUUGGGCGUAAAGGGCUCGUAGGUGGUUGAUCGCGUCGGAAGUGUAAUCUUGGGGCUUAACCCUGAGCGUGCUUUCGAUACGGGUUGACUUGAGGAAGGUAGGGGAGAAUGGAAUUCCUGGUGGAGCGGUGGAAUGCGCAGAUAUCAGGAGGAACACCAGUGGCGAAGGCGGUUCUCUGGGCCUUUCCUGACGCUGAGGAGCGAAAGCGUGGGGAGCGAACAGGCUUAGAUACCCUGGUAGUCCACGCUGUAAACGGUGGGUACUAGGUGUGGGGUCCAUUCCACGGGUUCCGUGCCGUAGCUAACGCUUUAAGUACCCCGCCUGGGGAGUACGGCCGCAAGGCUAAAACUCAAAGGAAUUGACGGGGCCCCGCACAAGCGGCGGAGCAUGCGGAUUAAUUCGAUGCAACGCGUAGAACCUUACCUGGGUUUGACAUGGAUCGGGAGUGCUCAGAGAUGGGUGUGCCUCUUUUGGGGUCGGUUCACAGGUGGUGCAUGGCUGUCGUCAGCUCGUGUCGUGAGAUGUUGGGUUAAGUCCCGCAACGAGCGCAACCCUUGUUCACUGUUGCCAGCACGUUAUGGUGGGGACUCAGUGGAGACCGCCGGGGUCAACUCGGAGGAAGGUGGGGAUGACGUCAAGUCAUCAUGCCCCUUAUGUCCAGGGCUUCACGCAUGCUACAAUGGCUGGUACAGAGAGUGGCGAGCCUGUGAGGGUGAGCGAAUCUCGGAAAGCCGGUCUCAAUUCGGAUUGGGGUCUGCAACUCGACCUCAUGAAGUCGGAGUCGCUAGUAAUCGCAGAUCAGCAACGCUGCGGUGAAUACGUUCCCGGGGCU